AUUGAACGCUGGCGGCAGGCCUAACACAUGCAAGUCGAACGAGUGGAGGACGGGUGAGUAAUGUCUGGGAAACUGCCUGAUGGUGGGGGAUACCUAAUGGACACGGUAGCUAUCACAGCCUACAAACGGAUUUGCACAGAGGGGAUUGGAGAGUAGGUGGGGUAAAGGCGCACCAAGGCGACGAUCCCUAGCUGGUCUGAGUGGAUGACCAGCCACACUGGACCUGAGAUACUGUCCAGAAUCCUACGUGAGGCAGCAGUGGGGAAUAUUGCACAAUGGGCGCGAGCAUGAUGAAGCCAUGCCGCGUGUAUGAAGAAGGCCUUGGGGUUGUAAAGUACGUUCAGCGGGGAGGCGUGACCCGCAGAAGAAGCACCGGCUAACUCCGUGCCAGCAGCCGCGGUAAUUC
rnacentral:rRNA from 1 species